GAGGGGAGAGCGGGGGCCGGGCCGGCUGCCCUGGGGGUGCUCUGGUGCAAGACGCGCAUUCCCCGCGCCUCCACGGCUCCGAGUCCGCCCCUUGUCCUUCUGUCAAUACGCUGGUGGUUGCUGCAGCUAAAUUUGAUUGAGGUCUCCGAGAUAAUGACGCUCCUGCCUAUAAAAAUUGGUAAUGGAGGAGAAAGACCUUCCAAAACCUGCAUUGCUUCUGGGAAGAAGAAAGGCCUACCGUUAACCAGGCCCACCGUUAACUACAAGGAUAGACUGAGACGCGAAUCAUAAACUUUAUUUCCCCCACCUUUAUUACAAAAGCAUUUUAAAACGUGCCUAUCCUAUUCCUAAAAAUUGAAUAUGAGAACUUUCAGUUCGGACAUGCCAUCACUGCUACUGGGAGAGGAACACAGCUCUCAGCAGACAAAUACACCGGGCAGCAAAACAUCACCAGCACUGGGCUUCUUCAGAAAUCAGAACAGCCGCUUUUUACCAGUUUGUGAGUGUUUGAAUGCGCCAUCGGAAAGGCAGCCACAGACCCGGCUGUGUGGGAUCUGCCUAUGUUACCCUGUGAAGGCAUUUCAGGAGCACAGCUCUGCGGAGACAGACUGCUAAAUAAACAGAAUCUUCAAUCAUAGAAUACAUAUCUGGAUCCAAG